GAUGAACGCUGGCGGCGUGCCUAAUACAUGCAAGUCGAGCGAACGGACGAGAAGCUUGCUUCUCUGAUGUUAGCGGCGGACGGGUGAGUAACACGUGGAUAACCUACCUAUAAGACUGGGAUAACUUCGGGAAACCGGAGCUAAUACCGGAUAAUAUUUUGAACCGCAUGGUUCAAAAGUGAAAGACGGUCUUGCUGUCACUUAUAGAUGGAUCCGCGCUGCAUUAGCUAGUUGGUAAGGUAACGGCUUACCAAGGCAACGAUGCAUAGCCGACCUGAGAGGGUGAUCGGCCACACUGGAACUGAGACACGGUCCAGACUCCUACGGGAGGCAGCAGUAGGGAAUCUUCCGCAAUGGGCGAAAGCCUGACGGAGCAACGCCGCGUGAGUGAUGAAGGUCUUCGGAUCGUAAAACUCUGUUAUUAGGGAAGAACAUAUGUGUAAGUAACUGUGCACAUCUUGACGGUACCUAAUCAGAAAGCCACGGCUAACUACGUGCCAGCAGCCGCGGUAAUACGUAGGUGGCAAGCGUUAUCCGGAAUUAUUGGGCGUAAAGCGCGCGUAGGCGGUUUUUUAAGUCUGAUGUGAAAGCCCACGGCUCAACCGUGGAGGGUCAUUGGAAACUGGAAAACUUGAGUGCAGAAGAGGAAAGUGGAAUUCCAUGUGUAGCGGUGAAAUGCGCAGAGAUAUGGAGGAACACCAGUGGCGAAGGCGACUUUCUGGUCUGUAACUGACGCUGAUGUGCGAAAGCGUGGGGAUCAAACAGGAUUAGAUACCCUGGUAGUCCACGCCGUAAACGAUGAGUGCUAAGUGUUAGGGGGUUUCCGCCCCUUAGUGCUGCAGCUAACGCAUUAAGCACUCCGCCUGGGGAGUACGACCGCAAGGUUGAAACUCAAAGGAAUUGACGGGGACCCGCACAAGCGGUGGAGCAUGUGGUUUAAUUCGAAGCAACGCGAAGAACCUUACCAAAUCUUGACAUCCUUUGACAACUCUAGAGAUAGAGCCUUCCCCUUCGGGGGGGCAAAGUGACAGGUGGUGCAUGGUUGUCGUCAGCUCGUGUCGUGAGAUGUUGGGUUAAGUCCCGCAACGAGCGCAACCCUUAAGCUUAGUUGCCAUCAUUAAGUUGGGCACUCUAAGUUGACUGCCGGUGACAAACCGGAGGAAGGUGGGGAUGACGUCAAAUCAUCAUGCCCCUUAUGAUUUGGGCUACACACGUGCUACAAUGGACAAUACAAAGGGCAGCGAAACCGCGAGGUCAAGCAAAUCCCAUAAAGUUGUUCUCAGUUCGGAUUGUAGUCUGCAACUCGACUACAUGAAGCUGGAAUCGCUAGUAAUCGUAGAUCAGCAUGCUACGGUGAAUACAUUCCCGGGUCU
rnacentral:rRNA from 1 species